rnacentral:rRNA from 1 species
CCUACGGGGGGCUGCAGUGGGGAAUAUUGGACAAUGGGGGGAACCCUGAUCCAGCCAUGCCGCGUGUGUGAAGAAGGCCCUCGGGUUGUAAAGCACUUUCAGUGAGGAAGAACGCCUGGUGGUUAAUACCCAUCAGGAAAGACAUCACUCACAGAAGAAGCACCGGCUAACUCCGUGCCAGCAGCCGCGGUAAUACGGAGGGUGCGAGCGUUAAUCGGAAUUACUGGGCGUAAAGCGCGCGUAGGUGGCUUGAUAAGCCGGUUGUGAAAGCCCCGGGCUCAACCUGGGAACGGCAUCCGGAACUGUCAAGCUAGAGUGCAGGAGAGGAAGGUAGAAUUCCCGGUGUAGCGGUGAAAUGCGUAGAGAUCGGGAGGAAGACCAGUGGCGAAGGCGGCCUUCUGGACUGACACUGACACUGAGGUGCGAAAGCGUGGGUAGCAAACAGGAUUAGAUACCCGAGUAGUC